CUCAGAUUCUCAAUGACUACAAACAGCUUAUCUGGAGAAUUUACAGCUCUUAAUUCCCAACAGGAUGGAAAGCUGACUUUACUUGAAAAUUCCAUCUUUUGCACUAGUCACCAAAAAAAUGGAGAAUUAAAAGCGCCUAUUGUGCAGAUUUUUUGA
rnacentral:lncRNA from 1 species